rnacentral:rRNA from 1 species
UACAGAGGUCUCAAGCGUUGUUCGGAUUCAUUGGGCGUAAAGGGUGCGUAGGUGGCGUGGUAAGUCGGGUGUGAAAUUUCGGAGCUUAACUCCGAAACUGCAUUCGAUACUGCCGUGCUUGAGGACUGGAGAGGAGACUGGAAUUUACGGUGUAGCAGUGAAAUGCGUAGAGAUCGUAAGGAAGACCAGUGGCGAAGGCGGGUCUCUGGACAGUUCCUGACACUGAGGCACGAAGGCCAGGGGGAGCAAAACGGGG